rnacentral:rRNA from 1 species
CCUACGGGGGCAGCAGUAGGGAAUUUUCGUCAAUGGGCGCAAGCCUGAACGAGCAAUGCCGCGUGAACGAGGAAGGUCUUCGGAUCGUAAAGUUCUGUUGAAGGGGAAAAAGAGCGGAGAGAGGAAAUGAACUCCGAUUGAUAUUACCCUUCGAGGAAGUCACGGCUAACUACGUGCCAGCAGCCGCGGUAAUACGUAGGUGGCGAGCGUUAUCCGGAAUGAUUGGGCGUAAAGGGUGCGUAGGCGGCCUGCUAAGUCUGAUGUGAAAGCCUUCGGCUCAACCGGAGAAUUGCAUCAGAAACUGU